ACGAAGGCCGAAGAGCUCCCUUCGAUCCAAUCCAGGAGGGGAAGUGGUCGGAUGCAGCUGCCGGUUCAUGGAUACCUCUCUUGUGCAGCAAUGAUCGAUGUUCACCUGCACUUGCAUGGGUGUGCAUGACCCGGGAGAUGAACCCACCAGCAUCUUUCCCUCGUGCUUGGAUUGAAGGGAGCUCCUCUCUCCCUGUCC
rfam:Dichanthelium oligosanthes cultivar Kellogg 1175 unplaced genomic scaffold Do_version_2_scaffold465, whole genome shotgun sequence.